rnacentral:rRNA from 1 species
UACGAAGGGUGCAAGCGUUAAUCGGAAUUACUGGGCGUAAAGCGCGCGUAGGUGGUUCAGCAAGUUGGAUGUGAAAGCCCUGGGCUCAACCUGGGAACUGCAUCCAAAACUACUGAGCUAGAGUACGGUAGAGGGUAGUGGAAUUUCCGGUGUAGCGGUGAAAUGCGUAGAUAUCGGAAAGAACACCAGUGGCGAAGGCGACUUACUGGACUCAUAUUGACGCUGAGGUGCGAAAGCGUGGGGAGCAAACGGGGAUUAGAUACCCCGGUAGUACCGUCCGU